UUGGCGUGAAUCGUGCACAAAGGCCACAAUACCCAGUAAUCAUUCGUUGUUGCAUUAGUAUACUUUACGUAUUGGUCAAUUUUCGCGCCUUUUUGACCUUGAGCAUCUACAGAUUUACGUUUAAGACGGAAACAUGGGAAUGCGAACACAAUGGUCACGGCGGUGACGGUGCUCGGUUAUUGCGGAGGGUGUCGCAGGAAGACAGGUACCCAGCAGAGUUAAACAGCAGGCAGACAUGUUUCCACCAAUGGUCUCUGCAUCACCACCCCCAUCAGAUGAUGACCUCAGUGGUGAUGAUGGAGAAGACUUUGGUGGUGGUGACUCAUCAUUUGACAUAACAGGCUUGUCACAGAAGCUGGCACCAUGUCAUGAGCCCGAUCCAGUGCCAGUGGCCAGCCAGGCAUCUGGUCAGGAUGCUCCAGCAGCCUGUCCGGCCGACCGCGGCACCCUCUCUGGUGCGGUCCUGCCGCCGGCCAGCCCCACAUCCCCAGUCAGUUUUGAUGAUGACGAAUGGGGCGACUUCAGCGCCGGCAGCGCCAUCAGUGUCCCCACGCCGGUGAGCUUGGGUGUGCCGACGGAGCCGGCGAGCGAGGGCACCGGCGGCAGCCCGCGCGGCCUGGACGGCGGCUGCGCACCAGACCGGGCGCGCACCGACUCGACCAGUUCAGAGUCCGACCCGCCGAACCCCUCCACCGCCGACCCGCGUCCGGCGGACUCUGCUGCCGUCGCCGCGGACCGGGUGGAGUCGGACUUGGAGUCGGCCGUGCCGGACGCUGGCGCCGCGAGCUCGGACUCUGCG